UACGAAGGUGGCAAGCGUUGUUCGGAUUUACUGGGCGUACAGGGAGCGUAGGCGGUUGGAUAAGCCCUCCGUGAAAUCUCCAGGCUUAACCUGGAAAGUGCAGAGGGGACUGUUCAGCUAGAGGAUGGGAGAGGAGCGCGGAAUUCCCGGUGUAGCGGUGAAAUGCGUAGAGAUCCGGAAGAACACCGGUGGCGAAGGCGGUCUGCUGGGCAGUUGCUGACGCUGAUGCGCGACAGCGUGGGGAGCAACAGG
rnacentral:rRNA from 1 species